rnacentral:rRNA from 1 species
UAUAUAUAUUUAAUUUAAUUGUUAUUUUAUUUAAUUUAUUAUUUGUAAGAAAUAACUUUUGUCUUAGUAUAUUUUUUGGAAUAGAUAUUUUUAUAUUUAUAGUUAAGUUUUUCUGUAAAGUUUUAUUAUUAAUAAAUAAUUUAAAGUAAAGUUUGAUUCUUGUACCUUUUGCAUCAGGGUUUAUCAAAUAUUUAAUAAUUAUAUUUAUGUUUCCCGAAAUUAGAAGAGAUACAUUAUUAAUUGCUAUUUAUUGUGUUAAAAUUAUUUGUAAAUUUAAUGUAGGGGUUAUAUACUAUUCAAUUCUAAAUAUCUGGUUAUCUAAUAAAUGAAUUUAAUUCAUUAUUGGUGUUAUUUGUUAUGUUAUAUUUUUAUUUUUAAUAUUUUACAUCAAUUUAAUAUUGGAGGGGAUAAGCUCUUUAAUAUUUCCAUAAUAUAUUUAUUUAUUAAAAUUACUUAGGUUUAAAAACGGCCAUUGUUUAUUUCGUUAUAGUUAAUUUUUGUUUGUGAUUUAUUUAUAGAUUGAUUUGGAUUUUUAUUAGAUUAUUUAUUUAAAUUAUGCCUAUAUAAGGAAUAAUGAUAAAAUUAGUAUAGUUUUUAUGUGUAGUAGAGUAAUUCGGCAAUAUUAAUGUUCACCUGUUUAACAAAAACAUGUCCUAUUGUUGAUUAUAUUAUAUUAGGUUAAGCCUGCUCAGUGAUUAUAUAUUAAAUAGCCGCAGUAAUUUGACUGUGCGAAGGUAGCAUAAUCAUUUGUCUUUUAAUUGGAGGCUUGUAUGAAUGGUUUGAUGAAACUUUAACUUUCUUUGCUACAAGAAUUAGAAUUUAAUAUUUGAGUUAAAAAGCUUAGAUAUUUCCAUAGGACGAGAAGACCCUAUAGAAUUUUACUAUAUUUAGUUUUAUUUAUAUUAGGUUAUUUAUUUUUAAAUAUUUAUUAUUUAUAGUUGUGUUGGGGUGACAGGGAAAUUUUAAUAACUUUCUUUAUUUAUUAUUUAAUAAUGUUUAUAUAUUUGAUCCUUUAUUAUGGAUAGUAAGAUUAAAUUACCUUAGGGAUAACAGCGUAAUUUCUUUGGAGAGUUCAUAUCGAUAAAGGAGUUUGCGACCUCGAUGUUGGAUUAAAAUAUGUGUUAAGUGCAGAAGCUUAAUUACUAGGUCUGUUCGACCUUUAAUAUUUUACAUGAUCUGAGUUCAGACCGGCGUGAGCCAGGUUGGUUUCUAUCCUUGGUUUAUAUUCUUUGUUUUAGUACGAAAGGACCAGACAGGGUAUUUAUUAUAAUUAUUAAUGUUGAUUAUUAAUAAAGAUAUAUUUUAUUAU